UACGAAGGGGGCUAGCGUUGCUCGGAAUCACUGGGCGUAAAGGGUGCGUAGGCGGGUCUUUAAGUCCGGGGUGAAAUCCUGGAGCUCAACUCCAGAACUGCCUUUGAUACUGAGGAUCUUGAGUUCGGGAGAGGUGAGUGGAACUGCGAGUGUAGAGGUGAAAUUCGUAGAUAUUCGGAAGAACACCAGUGGCGAAGGCGGCUCACUGGUCCGGUACUGACGCUGAGGUGCGAAAGCGUGGGGAGCAAACAGG
rnacentral:rRNA from 1 species